rnacentral:rRNA from 1 species
GACGAACGCUGGCGGCGUGCCUAAUACAUGCAAGUUGAGCGCUGAAGGUUGGUGCUUGUACCAACUGGAUGAGCAGCGAACGGGUGAGUAACGCGUGGGGAAUCUGCCUUUGAGCGGGGGACAACAUUUGGAAACGAAUGCUAAUACCGCAUAAAAACUUUAAACACAAGGUUUAAGUUUGAAAGAUGCAAUUGCAUCACUCAAAGAUGAUCCCGCGUUGUAUUAGCUAGUUGGUGAGGUAAAGGCUCACCAAGGCGAUGAUACAUAGCCGACCUGAGAGGGUGAUCGGCCACAUUGGGACUUAGACACGGCCCAAACUCCCACGGGAGGACGCAGUAGGGAAUCUUCGGCAAUGGACGAAAGUCUGACCGAGCAACGCCGCGUGAGUGAAGAAGGGUGUCGGAUCGGAAAACUUUGUUGGUAGAGAAGAACGUUGGUGAGAGUGGAAAGCUCAUCAAGUGACGGUAACUACCCAGAAAGCGACGGCUAACUACGUG